GACGAACGCUGGCGGCGUGCUUAACACAUGCAAGUCGAACGGAAAGGCCCUGCUUUUGUGGGGUGCUCGAGUGGCGAACGGGUGAGUAACACGUGUGUAUCCUGCCCUUGACUUUGUGAUAACUUCAGGAAACUGGGGCUAAUACCGCAUAUGAGCUCCUGCUGCAUGUGGGUGGUUGGAAAGUGUCGGCGUUUGUGGAUGGAUUCGCGGCUUAUCCGCUUCUUGGUGGGGUAGUUGCUUUCCAGGGCUUUGACGGAUAGCCGGCCUGAGAGGGUUACCGGGGACAAUGGGACUGAGGUACGGACCAGAAGGGUACGGGAGGCAGCAGUGGAGAGUAUGGCGGAAUGGGCGGGAGCGUGAGGUAGCAACGCCGGGUGCGGGAUGACGGCUUUCGAGUUGUAAACCGAUUUCGCCUGUGACGAGGCGUGAGUGACGGUAAUGAGUAAAGAAGCAACGGCUAACUACGUG
rnacentral:rRNA from 1 species